CCUACGAGCGGCAGCAGUGGGGAAUAUUGGACAAUGGGCGAAAGCCUGAUCCAGCCAUGCCGCGUGUGUGAAGAAGGCCUUCGGGUUGUAAAGCACUUUCAGUGGGGAAGAAAGCCUUGGGGCUAAUACCCUCGAGGAAGGACAUCACCCACAGAAGAAGCACCGGCUAACUCCGUGCCAGCAGCCGCGGUAAUACGGAGGGUGCGAGCGUUAAUCGGAAUUACUGGGCGUAAAGCGCGCGUAGGCGGUCUGAUAAGCCGGUUGUGAAAGCCCCGGGCUCAACCUGGGAACGGCAUCCGGAACUGUCAGGCUAGAGUGCAGGAGAGGAAGGUAGAAUUCCCGGUGUAGCGGUGAAAUGCGUAGAGAUCGGGAGGAAUACCAGUGGCGAAGGCGGCCUUCUGGACUGACACUGACGCUGAGGUGCGAAAGCGUGGGUAGCAAACAGGAUUAGAUACCCUUGUAGUC
rnacentral:rRNA from 1 species